CCUUGCUCCUCAGAAAGCUUGCAACCCAGCUGGGAACCAGGGGAUGCCAAUCUGUGCUCCAGGCUCCAGGAAGGGCUUCAUGCUUCUCUUGCCAUUCAUCUUUUCAUGCUGGAUGCACAGAAUGUGAGUUAUCCCCAGUGUCACUGCCAUGAUCUAUGGCACUUCCCAACACCUCCAUGGCACAUCCAUUAGGAGCUGGAACAGCUGCACACUGACUCCAGCAGUGUGAAUGCUCUACCUGGUGGGAAACAGCCAUGAAAAAGAACCUUCCCCAUUCAGAAUUAUGAAACAGAUGCACCUCCCUCAGCUGUUUUCCUGUCUCCAGGAACAGCACAGCUGCCAGGAUUAGCUCACCUGGAUCUCAUGCCCUGAGCAUUUGAUGAGGCACAAGGCACUGACAGUGUGGGCAAAGAGGAGCUGGGGAUGAGGAACAGAGAUGGGAGGAAGCCCAAAGUGAGAAAGAACCUAGAGAAAACAGCAUGAAAAGCCAAGGAAGAGAGAAUUCCUGGAGUGAUCCCAACCUCCCUGACAAGAAGAAGG